rnacentral:rRNA from 1 species
UGGGCGCUGCUUAACAUGCAAGUCGAACGGUAACAGGGAGCUUGCUCCGCUGACGAGUGGCGAACGGGUGAGUAAUACAUCGGAACGUGCCCAGUAAUGGGGGAUAGCUCGGCGAAAGCCGGAUUAAUACCGCAUACGCCCUGAGGGGGAAAGUGGGGGACCGCAAGGCCUCACGUUAUUGGAGCGGCCGAUGGCUGAUUAGCUAGUUGGUAGGGUAAAGGCCUACCAAGGCGACGAUCAGUAGCUGGUCUGAGAGGACGAUCAGCCACACUGGGACUGAGACACGGCCCAGACUCCUACGGGAGGCAGCAGUGGGGAAUUUUGGACAAUGGGGGAAACCCUGAUCCAGCAAUGCCGCGUGUGCGAAGAAGGCCUUCGGGUUGUAAAGCACUUUUGUCAGGGAAGAAAUCCUUUGGGCUAAUACCCUAGGGGGAUGACGGUACCUGAAGAAUAAGCACCGGCUAACUACGUGCCAGCAGCCGCGGUAAUACGUAGGGUGCAAGCGUUAAUCGGAAUUACUGGGCGUAAAGCGUGCGCAGGCGGUUGUGUAAGACAGGUGUGAAAUCCCCGGGCUUAACCUGGGAAUUGCAUUUGUGACUGCACGACUAGA